rnacentral:rRNA from 1 species
GACGAACGCUGGCGGCGUGCUUAUCACAUGCAAGUCGAACGAUGAACUGGAGCUUGCUCCAGGGAUUAGUGGCGAACGGGUGAGUAACACGUGAGUAACCUGCCCUUGACUCUGGGAUAAGCGCUAGAAAUGGCGUCUAAUACCGGAUACGAGCUUCAGCCGCAUGGCUAGGAGUUGGAAAGAAUUUUGGUCAAGGAUGGACUCGCGGCCUAUCAGCUAGUUGGUGAGGUAAUGGCUCACCAAGGCGACGACGGGUAGCCGGCCUGAGAGGGUGACCGGCCACACUGGGACUGAGACACGGCCCAGACUCCUACGGGAGGCAGCAGUGGGGAAUAUUGCACAAUGGGCGAAAGCCUGAUGCAGCAACGCCGCGUGAGGGAUGGCGGCCUUCGGGUUGUAAACCUCUUUUAGUAGGGAAGAUUAUGAUGGUACCUGGGGAAUAAGAACCCGCUAACUACGUGCCAGCCGCCGCAGUAA